AUUGAACGCUGGCGGCAUGCCUUACACAUGCAAGUCGAACGGCAGCACGGGGGCAACCCUGGUGGCGAGUGGCGAACGGGUGAGUAAUGCAUCGGAACGUGCCCAGUAGUGGGGGAUAACUAGUCGAAAGAUUAGCUAAUACCGCAUACGACCUAUGGGUGAAAGCGGGGGAUUCGCAAGAACCUCGCGCUAUCGGAGCGGCCGAUGUCUGAUUAGCUAGUGGCGGGGUAAAGCCCACCAAGGCUUCGAUCAGUAGCUGGUCUGAGAGGACGACCAGCCACACUGGGACUGAGACACGGCCCAGACUCCUACGGGAGGCAGCAGUGGGGAAUUUUGGACAAUGGGCGCAAGCCUGAUCCAGCCAUGCCGCGUGCGGGAAGAAGG
rnacentral:rRNA from 1 species